CAGCAGCCGCGGUAAUACAGAGGGUGCAAGCGUUAAUCGGAAUGACUGGGCGUAAAGGGCACGUAGGCGGAUAGAUGUGUCAUAGGUGAAAUCCCCGGGCUUAACCUGGGAACUGCCUGUGAAACUGUGUAUCUAGAAUAUAGGAGAGGGAAGUGGAAUUUCCGGUGUAGCGGUGAAAUGCGUAGAUAUCGGAAAGAACACCAGUGGCGAAGGCGACUUCCUGGUCUAAUAUUGACGCUGAGGUGCGAAAGCGUGGGGAGCAAACGGGAUUAGAUACCCCGGUAGUCCACGCUGUAAACGAUGAGAACUAGAUGCUUGUUGACUAAGGUUAAUGAGUAUUGAAGCAAACGCGUUAAGUUCUCCGCCUGGGG
rnacentral:rRNA from 1 species